CAGGAUGUCCUGAGAAAUGGACCAGAUUUUGUUCCUCUUGUUACUUCUUAUCUGAAGAGUCUAAGUCCUGGGAUGAAGCAAGAAAGUCCUGCAAAGCCAGAGGAGCUGAUCUGGUGGUGAUAAACAGCAAAGAUGAAAAUGAAUUUAUUUCUAAAUUGAACACGGAAAGAUGUUGGAUUGGACUGACUGACAGAGACUUGGAGGGGACCUGGAAAUGGGUUGAUGGAAGUUCUCUAAAUCUGACGUUCUGGGGAUCUGGUCAGCCUGAUAAUUAUGAUGGAGACGAAGACUGUGUGGAAACUCAUUUUAAAUCUCCGGGAUUGUGGAAUGACAUUCCAUGUAAGCUUUCAAGAAGGUUAAUCUGUGAAAAAGAAUGAAUGUUCUUUGUUUGAAAAAUCUUAAUACAUUUAUAGUUAAGAUCUAACCAAGAUGUUUUUAACCCAUCAAAAUACAUACAGGCUACAAACUUAAACAAGAAAUGUUUUUUUUAAUGAGGCUACAAAAAAAAAAUCAGCAUUUACCUUUUCCAAGGCAAUGAAAAAACACAAGCACCUCAGAAAUGUGUACAUCUAACUAACCAAGAAUAAAUCAGAGCAAAAUAAGUGACCCUCAAUGUUUUUUUAAUCUAAAUACAUGCAGUUCUAGUUUUUCUUCAACCAUAGAGCCACAGUGGAGGAGUAAAGGAACCACAUGUGGCUCGGGAGCCUCAGGUUGCAUAUUCAUGUUUUAACAAUAAAUUGCUUCUAGUUUUAUUGUUU